rnacentral:rRNA from 1 species
CGAGGACGAACGCUGGCGGCGUGCCUAACACAUGCAAGUCGAACGGAACUGACGCCGGUUCUCGGAACCAUUGGUCAGGUUUAGUGGCGGACGGGUGAGUAACGCGUGAGUAACCUGCCUCUGAGAGUGGAAUAACGUUUUGAAAAGAACGCUAAUACCGCAUAACAUAUAUAAGUCGCAUGGCUUAUAUAUCAAAGAUUUUAUCGCUCAGGAGAUGGACUCGCGUCCGAUUAGUUAGUUGGUGAGGUAACGGCUCACCAAGACCGCGAUCGGUAGCCGGACUGAGAGGUUGAUCGGCCACAUUGGGACUGAGACACGGCCCAGACUCCUACGGGAGGCAGCAGUGGGGGAUAUUGCGCAAUGGGGGCAACCCUGAACCGCAGCAACGCCGCGUGAAGGAUGAAGGUUUUCGGAUUGUAAACUUCUUUUAUCAGGGACGAAAAUUGACGGUACCUGAUGAAUAAGCUCCGGCUAACUACGUGCCAGCAGCGGC